AAGGGGAAGAUAGUGAGGACGAGGAAGUUGAAAAGGAGGAGGAUGAGAUGGAACAAGAUUAUCAAGAAGAGAAGGACGAGGAUUGACAAUUUUAUUUUUAUUAAAUUUUAUAUUGUAAACAAUUAAUUUGGAUGAUUUUUAUUUUUUGGGAGUAGGAUGAACAAUAUAUUUAUAUACAUGUUUUCUGUUUUCAAAUUUUCUAUACAGGAACCCCAUAGGAAAGAAACACUACAUUUACAAGCUUAAAACGAACAAGGAAGGAGGCACUCGCCAAAAGAUUAUG
rnacentral:lncRNA from 1 species